rnacentral:misc_RNA from 1 species
UAGUAAGUGUUUAUGGCACUUCUUAAAACCAUAUCCACCUUGUGUGCAAUGUCAGCCGUUUUCUUUAUGAAAGCGGCCAAACAUCAACUUAUUUUUUAACCGUCUGUCUGAAAACUAUUAUGAAUAAACAAUUCAAAUA